ensembl:lncRNA
UUUGGUUGGGGUGAGUGGGGGCUACUCUGUUCCAGCGAACGGGCUUCUCAUUGCAGCGGCUUCUCUCGUUGUGGAGCACAGGCUUUAGGCACACAGGCUCAGUAGUUGUGGCAUGCGGUUCGUUGCUCUGUGGCAUGUGAGAUCUUCCUGGACCAGGGAUUGAACCCAUGUCCCCUUCAUUGUCGGGCAGAUUCCUGUCCACUGAGCCCCCAGGGAAGUCAGGCACACAGCUUCUCAGGGGCACAGCUGGAAUCUGAACUCGGGCACUGAUGCUCCAGAGCCCUCAGGAGGACUGAGCGUCCCCUUCAAAGUCCUCCUGGCAGGUCCAUCCUGCAGAUCCUCACUCCACAUAGUAGGUGCUCAGGAAACUCGUGCUGUGUCAGUGUCUGGGGGUUUAGAUCAUCCUCUCCAUGUGAGUUGGGGGGGCCUGUCCCCAUUUCAAAGGAAGAACCUGUUAUCUUUGUUUUACAGGAGAGGGAACUGAGGCCUGAGGUCACAGAGGCAGGGAGUGGUAGAGCCAAGCUCUGACUCCCCAGUGGGAAAGGGUUCUACAGACGGGCAAGGCCGUCAUCUUCGGGGUCUUCAGCCGUCUGGAUGCUAACUUCACAUGCUCGUGUGCACUGAGCAGGCCCUCCAUGUUGCACGUAGAAUGAGCUCUCGUGGGCAUGACCACGUCUAUCUCGUUUGCUGCUGUACUGAGUGACAUCUGGGUGCUUGUGUGCUCAGUCGCUCCAGUCGUGUCUGACUCUGCCACCCGGGGACUCCAGCCUGCCAGGCUCCUCAGCCCAGGGGAUUCUCCAGGUGUGUGUGGGAGGCACUGGCAUCACUUAAUGAGGCCUCCACAGCUGCCAAGGAGAGCUGGAGGAGUUGAAACAGGUUCUGGGUGAGUUUUGCGAAUUUCGUUGCAUAACCACCGCCGUGAUCAAGACACAGAUUUCCAUCGCUCCAGA